AUAAAAUAACUUCAAGUACUUUUUUUUUGGGGGGGGGGCGUCCUGACAUUGGAUCCUGAAGAACAAGAUGAAUUAAGAUCAGUUGAUAAAUCGUCCUUUUUUUUUUCUUCUUCGUCCUUUUUUUUUUCUUCUUCUUCUUCUUUCCACCGCCCGCCCGUUGACGUGCGGUUGACGGGAUGAAUCUAACGUCGUUGCUUUGCCUCCCUAGUCACGUCUUCCCGGCAACGCUAAAACGCUGCGCCGGGGAAGAGUGCUUCCCGGAGGCAGCAGACUUUAAAGGACGAGCGAAAUCCCAUGUGGUUUGUCAUGCUAGAAUGCGUAGCGAAGAGCGUUUGUGUGUGCGUGCGGGGAAGGGGGGGGGGGGGGUUAAGGAAGGCGAGAUGUGCUCCUGAGAUAGCACCGGCAUCAGAGUGAUUGCUGGGUCUUUGGGAUUCAGGCAGAGGAGGGAUGAGGUGGGGGGAGUUCGGGAGGAAACCAUCCAGGACUGACUGCUCUGCCGCUCGCAAUCACCCAAAUUGAGCUCUUUCUCGCAGCCCGCCAUGUUGACGGCACUGUGGCGUUUUAAGCAUUCGAUAUCCUCUCCCGCGUCGGUCAUCAGAGGGCGGAUAACUCGCUCGCUCCCAGGCCGGCGAGAUUAAAUAAUAUCACAGACUGCUUUAAUCCUCCCCAGCACACGCACAAACGUGCUCUGCGUUCAGGAUUAAAAAUUGUCAGGCUUUCCGGUGCCGAUGGCGAUAAUGAUAACGCGCUUCCUCCUCCUGGCAGGAAGUGACAACGGCUAAAUUGAGGAACUUCCUGUGGAAGGAAAUGGCCUAACGCAAAAGGCCGAUUUUUCAUUUGCAAGAUUUAUUUUGCAAUCUUUUAUUUACAAAACAUCAACAGGAAGUAGAAACCAUUUAUUCUACCCUUGAUAUUUGACUGUCAUGGCAUGGAAAAACAAGCUAAUUACAGUUGUCACUAUCGAAUCUUUUUAGAAUAUUGACUCUAGAGCUCGUGCAUGUGACGUCAGAAUUUUCACGGCGCCAUAUUGCCGGUCAAAAAGAGCAGCUCGAUAGUGGGGGGGACAUUGAAACGGAGCAGAAUAUUUACAAUACCCAAGACUUGUUGUGCUGUUGGUCGUCACAACAGGCAAGACAGAUAAUCAAAGAGGUCCUUCUAUGGAAUACCAUCUGAAAACACCAGAAAAUAUCGAUGGACUUCGGCAAUUGAAGGUGAUGGAUGGUGCCCAACCAAAUGCGCACGACUGUGUAGCUAUCACUUCACUUCAGGAGAGGAGAAAACUCAUCGGUCAACGUUAGCACAGAGUUAUUUCCCUUUCCUUCCUGACCCAACAUGGCUGCCUCAAGUACACAUGGAGCGUUUUCCAAGAGAAGAAAGCGAGAAAGGAUUCGCCACGUGCUUUGGGAGUACCAAGAUGGCGGCCAACUGGCUUCAACCAAUCGACACCGCUAGAUCAGUGACUGCAACUUCACAACAGACCUUCUCUGCUUCUUCUUCUUGCUCAUAAGGGACCUUUCCGACCUGUCAAUCACUUGUACAAUAAUAGCCAAUCAGAUAGCCGCAUUGUCUUAACCCCUGGCUUGACACGCCCCUCUCGCCGCAUUGUCCCACAAGCAAUGCUGGUUGUCAGUAGCGUGCGCUUGGAAAAGUUAACAUUACGAAGAAAAUAGUCCUCAGAUGCGCUUGUGCAAUUCUGAUGAAAGAUAUCCUGCUCGGUUACAAGGGGCCCGCUCGAUUCAUUUUCCAAAGACUAAAAGACAGUUGACCAAGUGUCUACGAUGGAUUAAGGCUAGCGGAAGAGCGCACGUACAACUAAAUGUGGACAAUAUCAACAAACACAAGGCUGUAUGUUCGAAGGUAAGUGAGGGAGAAGUAUCUUCUUUGAGUUUGAAUUAUUAUCAGUGCUUUGUACA